GGGAGUUAAACUUCCAGAGGCAUUACAUUAAUUCAUCCCACUACCUUGACUGUCCUUCUUUCCCAGACUAAAUCACCAAAGUCCAAGUUGGUUGUGGACAGGCCACCUUCAGAUGUGCACAUGAGAUUAGCUUCCAGCCUAUCUGCCUUUAUUCUUCCUUGAGAGGAAGCUAAUUUAUUCUGCCACACGCUUCAGAAAUGCUUAACCUUGUUAUUUGAUAGCCAUGUGUUUCAGAGCUGAGGUAGGAGGAGCUGUUUAAACUCCUUUUUUGCCGAGAGAUGGAAUGUUAGAACUGAAAGGUUCUGUGACAGUUGGGGAUGACAGUUGUGGGAAGAAUCAGCUAACUGGAGGCAAAAGUGCCCAGGCCAGAGAGUUCUCGGAGCUGCUUCAGAAUGGCAUCCAAUGCUAGUUCAGGAUGACAAGUGAUGGCCCAGGAUGAUGUGGAUGACUUUGGCAUAUUUGAUGUGUGACUAGACUCUAGCUGCCCCAAAGUACCUGCUUCAACCACCUUCAUGACUGUUGGAACAAAUUGUGCUCAUCUGACUUUUCCUCUAUGAGAAGCCUCCACAUGCUUGGAGUAGCUAUCCACUCAAGUCACUGACUUAAGGCCUGUCAGUUGCCCUCAACCUGGCUAAACCAGGUCCACCUAGAGAGUUUUACUGGGGUGUGGCUGCUAUGCCUGCUACAGUUUCUUAGAGCCACAGGCAAGAAUUGGGUGAAAGAUAGAUACCAAAGGUGGAAGAGUAGCCCUGAAAAGAUAAGACCUCAGCAAGUCUUCAUGCCAGAGGCUAGUCUUCCCUGAACACUCCAUACCCUCCAAGGAAUUACACUAGAGGAGAUAUACCUCCCCUUAUAGCUCUAAAACAAUAACCAUGUGAAUUCUUUGUAGAAGUGAAACCAUUAAAGACAGAAGCCCCAAAGGAAUAAAAAUGUUUUGCAAAAAUGUGCCCUCAGUGACUGAAUCUCAGGAAUUUGGUUAAUUUGUCAAUUGUAUUUUCAGCAAUUCCCCAAAUGAAAUUAAGAUUUUAGCUUAACAAGAAAUAUCGCAACAUCUUAGUGCUACCAAAAUUGAUUUGGUUUUAUUUUUAUUUUAAAUGGGAUUCCAACCAACCUCCAUGUCAAUAACAUAGCAAAUGAUAAUAAAAAUAUACUUUCCUUUUUU